GACAUUCGCGGGACAGGGAAAACCCCACACGGAGCAAGACCAAAUAGGGGGGCGAUAAGAGGCGAUGGCCCAUCGCUCAGGCCCCCGGGUUGGUUGCAUGAGGCCGCGAGCAAUCGCGGUCCUUAGAGGGAUGAUCGUCCACUCUCACCAUUCAAAAGUGAGACGGACAGAAUCCGGCUUACAGGCCAACUCCGCCG
rnacentral:RNase_P_RNA from 1 species